GAUUGAAUAACUGGUUCCCCUAUGAUCACCGAAGUUAAGCAACGUCGAACCGGAUCAGUACUUAAAUGGGUGACCGUUUAAGAAUAUCAGGUACUGUG